UACGUAGGGCGCAAGCGUUAUCCGGAAUUAUUGGGCGUAAAGAGCUCGUAGGCGGUUUGUCGCGUCUGCCGUGAAAGUCCGGGGCUCAACUCCGGAUCUGCGGUGGGUACGGGCAGACUAGAGUGAUGUAGGGGAGACUGGAAUUCCUGGUGUAGCGGUGAAAUGCGUAGAUAUCUGGAGGAAUACCGGUGGCGAAGGCGGCAUCCUGGACCGGCAUUGACGCUGAUGAGCGAAAGCUAGGGGAGCAAACGGG
rnacentral:rRNA from 1 species